CCUACGGGAGGCAGCAGUGGGGGAUAUUGCACAAUGGGGGAAACCCUGAUGCAGCAACGCCGCGUGAGUGAAGAAGGUCUUCGGAUUGUAAAGCUCUGUUCUUGGUGAAGCUAAUGACGGUAGCCAUGGAGAAAGCUCCGGCUAACUACGUGACAGCAGCCGUGGGAAGAAGUAGGGAGCGAGCGUGGUCCGGAUUUACUGGGUGUAAAGGGUGCGCAGGCGGCUCUGCAAGUCAGGCGUGAAAGCUAGGGGCUCAACCCCUAAAGUGCGCUUGAAACUGUGGAGCUUGAGUGAAGUAGAGGCAGGCGGAAUGCCCGGUGUAGCGGUGAAAUGCGUAGAUAUCGGGAAGAACACCAGUGGCGAAGGCGGCCUGCUGGGGUUUAACUGACGCUCAGGCACGAAAGCAUGGGUAGCAAACAGGAUUAGAUACCCGAGUAGUC
rnacentral:rRNA from 1 species